rnacentral:rRNA from 1 species
AGUGAACGCUGGCGGUAGGCCUAACACAUGCAAGUCGAACGGCAGCACAGUAAGAGCUUGCUCUUACGGGUGGCGAGUGGCGGACGGGUGAGGAAUACAUCGGGAUCUACUUUUUCGUGGGGGAUCACGUAGGGAAACUUACGCUAAUACCGCAUACGCCCUACGGGUGAAAGCAGGGGAUCUUCGGACCUUGCGCGAUUGAAUGAGCCGAUGUCGGAUUAGCUAGUUGGCGGGGUAAAGGCCCACCAAGGCGACGAUCCGUAGCUGGUCUGAGAGGAGGAUCAGCCACACUGGAACUGAGACACGGUCCAGACGCCUACGGGAGGCAGCAGUGGGGAAUAUUGGACAAUGGGCGCAAGCCUGAUCCAGCCAUACCGCGUGGGUGAAGAAGGCCUUCGGGUUGGAAAGCCCUUUUGUUGGGAAAGAAAAGCAGCAGGUUAAUACCCAGCGGUUCUGACGGUACCCAAAGAAUAAGCACCGGCUAACUUCGUG